CAGAGCAAAAGAAGGGAGGGGAAGAGUGAGCGAAUGAGGGAGGGUGGAACAGAGGUAGAGAGAUUCACACAGCAUAGCUCUCACUGGGUAGACAGCAUCGCUCCGAAACACACUCACGAGCAAACAAAAAGAGGCUAAACACAUCAGAAUCCUUUAAGACGACAACAGAACACAGUCCUUCAGCAGAGAUGGGGCCUGGAUUGUUCUGGAACUUCCCAUCCAAGACUAGCUGCAUGGUUCCACAGAGCCUGCUGCAGACAAUGUUGCUCUCCAGGAUGGCUGGCAUGAAGGAUCAACAGUUCACUGAAGAGAAACCACUACUGCCAGAAUCCAGGGGACAGGAAACAGAGAUGGCUAAAGGACAGUGUGUGCACGUGCUGCCCUGUGCUACGCCCUCCCCCCCCACGGCUCGUCCCCCAAAACGCUGGCAUGCCAUCGCCCGACACUGGCUCGGCCUGACACGCCUUCGGACCAGCGGGUACUUCCCGGAAAACUGUGAGACCUUUGUGGCAGAAGGAGAUUGGAAGGAACAUGACAUUGAAACCCCUUAUGGGAUGUUGCACGUGGUGAUCCGCGGGGCUCCCAAGGGCAACAAGCCAGCUAUCCUGACCUACCAUGAUGUUGGGCUCAACCACAAGCUGUGCUUCAACACCUUCUUCCACAAUGAAGACAUGCAGGAGAUCACUAAGCAUUUUGUGGUGUGCCACGUAGAUGCCCCAGGCCAGCACAUUGGUGCCCCCCAGAUGCCACAAGGGUAUCAGUAUCCCACCAUGGAUCAGCUAGCUGGGAUGCUUCCUAGUGUGGUGCAACACUUCGGCUUCAAGAGCAUUGUUGGAAUUGGAGUGGGGGCUGGUGCCUACAUCCUAGCCAAAUUUGCGCUGAUUUUCCCCGAUCUUGUGGAGGGUCUGGUUCUACUCAACAUUGACCCCAAUGGGAAGGGAUGGAUCGACUGGGCCGCCACAAAAUUGUCAGGACUCACCAGUACUUUACCAGACACUGUCCUGGCCCACCUCUUCAGCCAGGAAGAGCUUAUGAGCAACACAGAAGUGGUCCAGACUUACCGCCAACAGAUCAAUAACACAAUCAACCAAUUCAACCUACAGCUCUUCUGGAACAUGUACAACAGCCGCAGGGAUUUGGAAAUGAACCGCAGUGGCUCUAUGCUAAAUGCUAAGACCCUGAGGUGCCCAGUCAUGCUGGUCGUUGGUGACAAUGCUCCGGCUGAGGAAGGCGUGGUUGAGUGCAACUCUAAACUGGAUCCAACCAACACCACAUUCCUAAAGAUGGCUGAUUCAGGUGGAAUGCCUCAAAUUACACAGCCUGGAAAACUCACAGAGGCUUUCAAGUACUUCCUGCAGGGAAUGGGUUACAUUGCUUAUAUGAAGGAUCGGAGAAUGAGUGGGGGGCCAGUGCCUUCGGCCAGUAUGACCCGUCUUGCUCGCUCGCGAACGGCCUCUCUGACCAGCGCCGGCUCUGUGGAUGGUUCUCGCAACCGCGCAUGCACGCACUCAGAUAGCAGUGAGGGCAUCGGGCAGGUCAGCCACACCAUGGAAGUGUCCUGCUGAUCCCUCGUGCACUGUCUCACAUGCACACAUUUAGAGAGACGUGGCAUGGAAGGAGGGCGUGAGAAGAAUGGAGGUCUCAUAUUGCUUUCAUUCUUUCUUUCUCAGCCAUUUUCUAUGUCGUUUUCUCUCCGUUUUUCAGUGUUAGCCAUCUUAAAGGAAUAGUUGACUCAAAAAUGAAAAAAUUACCAUCAUUUACUCACCCAGAUGUCUCUAGAAACCCAUAUGACUUGAUUUCUUCUGUAGAACACAAAAUGAGAUGUAUAUAGUCCAAGCAGCUAUUUCCCAUAUGAAAGUGAAUGGUGACCAAAACUGAAUUUCAGUGGAUAACAACUUUUUUUUUUUUUUUUGUGAAUUAGCUUUAGAAGACCUGAAAUGUCAUGCACAGGUCAUGUAAACCACUUUUAUUAUACUUGAGCAUGACAGCACUUGGUCCCCAUCCACUUCCAUGGUAUGGAAGAGAGCAGCUUGGACGUUCUGCUGAACAUCUUUUGUGCUCCACAGAAGAAAUAAAGCCAUACAGGUUUAGAAGAACCUUAGUAUGAGGUUUUCUUUUCGAGCUGAACUAUUCCUUUACCCUGUAAAAUGAAGACUUGCUGUCCUUUUCCCCUUCAAAACAGUGUUUAGUUUCCCCCCAACUUUGUAACGCGGUUACUUAACGCUCUAUGUGUCAGUAUUCUGCACCCUUUGCUCGCUGCCUCUGGCCUUCACCUCCUCCUAAGACAAAACUACAAGUCCCAUCAGCCCCUGCUCUCACUCAUUCCUGUCCUAUGACAGUCUUUGAGGAGAAACUGAUGGAUUGGGUCGCAGGUAGAAGGGGUUGGUCUUGAGGAACAGCAUGAAACAAAGUAAAAGAAAGGAGGGUUCUUAAAGCAGAGAGUGAUUUAUAAGUGACAUUUGUAGCUCUCCCUCUCAAUUUUGAGCGAAAGCAAAGUGAUUGUAUAGUCGAAGAGGGCGAAAAUCUCUUAACCAGUAAACAGUAGCUUUCGGCUAAUCAUCUCAGCUCAUUCAGUCAUUGGGAGGGUAUGUAUCACCACAUACUGUAAGAAAGAAUCGCUUUUUGAUAGAGUUUUUUUGCAUUAUUUGAUACUAUGAUUGGUUUUCUAAUUUAAAAUGUUAUUAAAGCAUGAACAAUGCUUUUGAACUGUUUUUCUCCAUUAAAGUAGGAACAGAAGUUGUAUGACUUGACUUGCCACUGACUUGCCUCAAAAGGUCUUUUUUUCAUGUUAGAAUGCUUCAUUUUACCAUUCCUUUAACAUUAAGCACUAAUACAAUCAAGUGCACUUUCAAAUCAAGUCUCACUUCAUUAAAUACGACAUACCCAGUACCCUUUUAGUGUGCACUCUCUGUCAUAUGAAAGUGGCUUUGCCUGGGAUCGGUUCUGUACGGUCUCCUUUUUAUAGACAAUCAGCUCCUGAUCCAAACCAAACCGGAACCGUCGACUGAGGCAGAGCCUGUGUGAUAGAGUUUGCAUUUUGUGCGUUAGCGGAUCAGAAUCAAGGCUUCACGCUUCCCUUACAGCACCCAGCCCCACACCAAGAAUAUACCAAAGCUACUGAUACAAAUGCACACAUACACAUUUCCCAAUGAGGGCUGGGUUCUGCAAGGUAACAGGGCUUUUGUAUGUAUACACACACACACACACACACACACACACAAUUCAUGUACUUGCAUGCAACUUGCAUAUAAACAACACUGAAAGAUUUAUAUGCAUUAGAAUCGAUCCAUAUUCAGUGCAUGCUUAUUUCAUAAUUUACUAUAGAUCUGUAGAUUCACAUUUACUUAUUUUUUGUGACCCUUGUAACAUUUCCACAUUUUCAUUAUAGUUUGAUCAAUUUCUAAAGUGGUGAAUGGAAACUACAAAUAUAUGUUUUGUGUUCCCAUUUGCUCCAAUAGCAAUAAACAAACAAAAAAAACAAUAGUGUUUCUAUGACGUUACAAAUAUG